AUGCCACGUGAGUGAGGAAGGCCUUAGGGUUGUAAAGCUCUGUCCUAUGGGAAGAACGGCACCUUAGGGUGUGUGACGGUACCAUAGAAGAAAGCACCGGCUAACUCCGUGCCAGCAGCCGCAGUAAUACGGAGGGUGCAAGCGUUGUUCGGAUUUACUGGGCGUAAAGCGCGCGCAGGCGGAUGGACAAGUCAGAUGUGAAAUCUCGGGGCUCAACCCCGAAACUGCGUCUGAAACUGUUGAUCUAGAGAGUCGUAGGGGGCAGGGGAAUUUCACGUGUAGGGGUAAAAUCCGUAGAGAUGUGAAGGAACACCAGAGGCGAAGGCGCCUGCCUGGACGACGACUGACGCUGAAGCGCGAAAGCGUGGGGAGCAAACAGGAUUAGAUACCCUGGUAGUCCACGCCGUAAACGAUGAGUACUAGUUAUUGUGGGUAUUGACCCCCUCAGUGACGCAGCUAACGCAUUAAGUACUCCGCCUGGGAAGUACGGCCGCAAGGCUAAAACUCAAAGGAAUUGACGGGGGCCCGCACAAGCGGUGGAUUAUGUGGUUUAAUUCGAAGCAACGCGCAGAACCUUACCUAGGCUUGAAAUCCUGCGAAUCUGGGGUAAUGCCCGGAGUGCUCGCAAGAGAAUGCAGAGACAGGUGCUGCAUGGCUGUCGUCAGCUCGUGUUGUGAAAUGUUGGGUUAAGUCUCGCAACGAGCGCAACCCCUAUCUUUAGUUGCCAGCAUUAAGUUGGGCACUCUAGAGAGACUGCCCGGGUUAACCGGGAGGAAGGUGGGGAUGACGUCAAGUCCUCAUGGCCCUUAUGCCUAGGGCUACACACGUAAUACAAUGGUGCAUACAGAGGGAAGCGAUACGGCGACGUUAAGCAAAUCUCAAAAAGUGCAUCUCAGUCCGGAUUGGAGUCUGCAACUCGACUCCAUGA
rnacentral:rRNA from 1 species